rnacentral:rRNA from 1 species
GAUGAACGCUAGCGGGAGGCUUAACACAUGCAAGUCGAGGGGCAGCAUAGGGUAGCAAUACUCUGAUGGCGACCGGCAAACGGGUGAGUAACGCGUAUGCAACCUACCCUGUACAGGGGGAUAACCCGGAGAAAUUCGGACUAAUAUCCCGUAAUAAUAUCCGGAGGCAUCUUUGGAUAUUUAAAGUUCCGACGGUACGGGAUGGGCAUGCGUAACAUUAACUGGUUGGUAAGGUAACGGCUUACCAAGGCUAUGAUGUUUAGGGGUCCUGAGAGGGUGGUCCCCCACACUGGUACUGAGACACGGACCAGACUCCUACGGGAGGCAGCAGUGAGGAAUAUUGGUCAAUGGGCGCAAGGCCUGAACCAGCCAUCCCGCGUGCAGGAAGACGGCCCUAUGGGUUGUAAACUGCUUUUCCAGGGAGAGAAACUUACGCACGUGUUGCGUGACUGACGGUACCCUGGGAAUAAGCAUCGGCUAACUCCGUGCCAGCAGCCGCGGUAAUAGUCAGUCG